rnacentral:rRNA from 1 species
GCUACGGGAGGCAGCAGUGAGGAAUAUUGGUCAAUGGGCGCUAGCCUGAACCAGCCAAGUAGCGUGAAGGAUGACUGCCCUAUGGGUUGUAAACUUCUUUUAUAUGGGAAUAAAGUGCAGUAUGUAUACUGCUUUGCAUGUACCUUAUGAAUAAGGAUCGGCUAACUCCGUGCCAGCAGCCGCGGUAAUACGGAGGAUUCGAGCGUUAUCCGGAUUUAUUGGGUGUAAAGGGAGCGUAGGCGGGUUGUUAAGUCAGUUGUGAAAGUUUGCGGCUCCACCUUAAAAUUGCAGUUGUUACGGGCAUCCUUGAGUACAGUAGAUGUAGGCGGACUUCUUGUUGUAGCGGUGACAUGCUUAGAUCUCACGCAGAACUCCGAUUGCGACGGCAGCCUGCUGGACUGUACCUGACGCUGAUGCUCGAAAGUGUGGGUAUCAAACAGGAUUAGAUACCCCGGUAGUC